rnacentral:tRNA from 1 species
AUUCAUGCAGUUUAAAUUAAACAUUUUAUUUUCGUUAAAAAGAUGAUUAUUAAAAUCUAUGAAUU